UACGUAGGGGCGAGCGUUGUCCGGAUUUAUUGGGCGUAAAGAGCGUGUAGGCGGCCAGGUAGGUCUGCUGUGAAAACUCGAGGCUCAACCUCGAGACGUCGGCGGAAACCAUCUGGCUAGAGUCCGGAAGAGGAGAGUGGAAUUCCUGGUGUAGCGGUGAAAUGCGCAGAUAUCAGGAGGAACACCGAUGGCGAAGGCAGGUCUCUGGGCAUUAACUGACGCUGAGGAGCGAAAGCAUGGGGAGCGAACAGG
rnacentral:rRNA from 1 species